GACGAACGCUGGCGGCGUGCUUAACACAUGCAAGUCGAACGGUAAGGCCCUUCGGGGUACACGAGUGGCGAACGGGUGAGUAACACGUGGGUGAUCUGCCCUGCACUUCGGGAUAAGCCUGGGAAACUGGGUCGAAUACCGGGUAGGACCACUGCCUGCAUGGGUGGUGGGGGAAAGCUUUUGCGGUGUGGGGUGGGCCCGCGGCCUAUCAGCUUGUUGGUGGGGUGAUGGCCUACCAAGGCGACGAUGGGUAGCCGGCCUGAGAGGGUGACCGGCCACACUGGGACUGAGAUACGGCCCAGACUCCUACGGGAGGCAGCAGUGGGGAAUAUUGCACAAUGGGCGCAAGCCUGAUGCAGCGACGCCGCGUGAGGGAUGACGGCCUUCGGGUUGUAAACCUCUUUCAGCACCGACGAAGCGCAAGUGACGGUAGGUGCGGAAGAAGGACCGGCCAACUACGUGCCAGCCGCCGCUGUAA
rnacentral:rRNA from 1 species